rnacentral:rRNA from 1 species
UACGUAGGUGGCAAGCGUUGUCCGGAUUUAUUGGGUUUAAAGGGCGCGUAGGCGGCCUGAUAAGUCGGGGGUGAAAUCCUGUGGCUUAACCACAGGGCUGCCUCCGAGACUGUCGGGCUCGAGCACAGUAGAGGCAGGUGGAAUUCCCGGUGUAGCGGUGGAAUGCGUAGAGAUCGGGAAGAACAUCGGUGGCGAAGGCGGCCUGCUGGGCUGUUGCUGACGCUGAGGCGCGACAGCGUGGGGAGCAAACAGG